rnacentral:lncRNA from 1 species
GCAUAUUGUAAAACCAGCAAAGCAGUCUCUUUGUAUGGAACAGAGACAGGGUGGUACAGAGCGGUCAUGCAGGAUAGCAGGUGGCACAUGUGUAGGUCAUGUGAAGUCAUAAAGGUACAGAGUUGGUCCUCCAGAAAAUUCUUCUUACACUCAAGGAAUGUAAAUCCUCAGUGAAUUCCUAUGAUUGGCACCUGAGACCUCAGUGGUGUAGAGGAACAGAGUAGAAUUCUGUAGCUGUUUUCUGUUUAGCAAAUCUUCCAGCCACAGUGUUCCAGCGCAUCUCAGCUCCUACCUAAGCUACAAUAACGGGUGUGUCAGUGGUGCUGUUCAAUAGCAUCGGUCAAGGAACCAAGCCGACAAGUUCAAGGUACUGAAGCAGAGAGAAAUACUGUAUAUGAAGCAGAGCUGGCAUUGGCAUUCUCUAUGAUGUCUUCAGCAUGGGGAGAGGUGGCAUUCUUCCUGAGAGUCAGCUCAUCCAAUUUCUAGAAGACAUUUGCAUUUUCCAUUCUUCAGCGACAGGAUUGCAGACAUUGAUUUAUACAAUGGAGUGCUGAUGUUUUCCUGUUCUACUAAUAUCAAAGUUCAAUUAGGGAAAAUGGCAGUACACAAAUGUAUAGAAAAUGAUUACAAAUGGAUUGGCUAAUUGGUUUUCCAAGAAUCAGAAAGAAAGGUGAUAUAUUUGAUGCCAUCCCCUACUUUACAAAAUAGCAACUCUCAAAGAGUCUCUGAGUGAUGUGGAAUCUAUGUAGGAAACGAGACCUCCUUCAAAUGCCUGUAAAAUAUAGUAGGUGAAGGUUAGCAAUACAACAGAAAAUCACAAUGGUGUUAGUAUACAACAAAAAGGUAAGCAUCUCUCACUUUUCUAACUGUAUCCAGUCGCUUCAGGGAAAAUUUAAAAUGGCUUUGAGCAAUCCUAAGGGUGAGCUCUGUAAAGAAAUAUCUGCAAACUAACGGGAAGCCAGGAUAAGUCUGUGGGUUAGGAUUGAAGUUGAAAGCACUGUACGCCUCUGCCUUUGCGUAUUUCGACAGAGGAAAAUAGGAAGAGACGCGUGAGUGUAAUGUCUUAGAUCUGCUUCCUCAAGAGUAGCUGGCAGUAAGGACUCCCUAAAAGGCUAUGAGAGAUCCCAGCACUCAGGUCUCAGAUUCUAGAUCGUAUUCCAGGAAAAACUGAACAGAACUCCUGGAAGAAAUGAACAAGAUGUGUCUGAGACAUCAUGGCAUGUCAUAAAGAAACUGCUCAAGGCAAGAUAGAGCUGAGUCAAAGGACAUAAAAUCUCCUGAGGUGGGGCUCCCAAGAGUCCAAUCUGGGGUAAUUUGAGGUAGUGAUGAUGAUGAGGAUAGGUAUUAACUCACUGAAUGAAACAGAAGGCAUGAAAUUAUAUUGAUAAAAAUAAAUAAUUUAUGAAAAUAAAUAUGAACACAAAGGGAGGGCUGACUGCAAAGUUUCAGCUCAGAAACAGAAGGGUCAUGGAAGUCAGAAAAUCACCACAAGACCAUUUUAGGUAAAAAUCAUCCAAGGAUGCUAAAGGUAGUGUGCAUGCGUAUGUGUGUGUGUUUGUGUGUGUGCAUGGUAUGUGUACAUGUAUGGUCUGUAUGUAUGUGUUCAUGUGUAUAUGUAUAUAUGUGUAUGUAUGUGCGUAUACUGAGCUGAAUAUUUAGUAUCAAA